rnacentral:lncRNA from 1 species
AGCUUCCCCAUCUUAAUGAAGGCCUUCACUUAACUGAGCAGACCUUUUGUAACCCUACAUGAAAAUGAGCACGUGUGUUUUUAAAAAAUACAUAUGAACUAAAACUUGGCUUUAAAAACUAAGUUUAAAAAGGUGGGUUUUUUUUUUUUUUUACUUAAAAUGAUAAUAGCACAUCUCAGCAGCACGUGUUAGAAAACUACACAAGAUUUGCACUCUUUCAACUAAUUUAGUAAUGUUGACAUCAGAGAAUGUUUAGCUUGGAAGGGAAACCUCAUUUCCUCCAGACUCUCCUUUGAACAAGUGAAGAGGGAGGAGUCGCUGAUGAUAAACACAACAUCGCUUAGAUUGACCCAGCGGCUUAUCCUCUGAGUUUCGGCGAAGACCCCAGUGUCUUGGCCACCGCUUUUCUAUUAUAAGGCCCUGGGGGCUGUCUUCAAUAUAAUCAAAUUAAAUUUCAAAUAUAAUGCAAUUGUAGGGAGAAAAUCCUUUCUAUAUCUUCUGCAUUUUGUACCGUGUACACUGAAGUUAAGAAAUAACUGUUUGUUCCUACCAAUUAAUUACCAUAAAAAGAAAGAAAAUCUUAAGCACCUCACUGGCAGAUCAGAGGCCUUCUGGGGAAAGGCUGUCUCAAGGGACAAAGACGGAAAGAAGCCAAUCUAGCCCUUGAGACUCAGGAGAAAGCGCACCAGCCUUGAAAUCACGCUGGAGUGCAAAUCCCUGCGUAGCCACUACCUGCCACGUACUAUACUGGACCUCAAUUGCCUCAUCCAUUAAACGUGGCAACAACCAAGACUGUUCUAUGGAUUCCAGACCAGAGUGCUUGGCAUAAAGCAGGUGCGCCAUACAGAGUCAGUUACUGAGACCAUCAAGGGGAUGCCCGGGCCGAAGAGAGCAGUAAGGGCUGGGACAGGUGACCGCAAGUGGCUGGAACCUACACGUCCCUCCCUCAGAGACGCCUAGGCACAGCCCCUCCGCUUUCUUCACUUGAUCUCUGCGAGGCCCGCUCGGGGCUCUCCGCGGCGCCGCUGACUCAGGAGAAAUGGGAAUGGCGUGACCACAGGGAAAUGAUACAUUUUUUCCUCCUUGCCUGGAGGCCCGAAAACUGACGAGCCUUAAACGCCUGCUGCAGCAGCUGCCCAGCGGUCGGGAGUGGCGGACAGGGAC